rnacentral:rRNA from 1 species
UACGUAGGGUGCGAGCGUUGUCCGGAUUUAUUGGGCGUAAAGAGCUCGUAGGCGGUUUGUCGCGUCUGCUGUGAAAGACCGGGGCUCAACUCCGGUUCUGCAGUGGGUACGGGCAGACUAGAGUGCAGUAGGGGAGACUGGAAUUCCUGGUGUAGCGGUGAAAUGCGCAGAUAUCAGGAGGAACACCGAUGGCGAAGGCAGGUCUCUGGGCCGAUACUGACGCUGGAGGAGCGAAAGCGUGGGGAGCGAACAGG